rnacentral:tRNA from 1 species
GCGCCCGUAGCUCAGGGGAUAGAGCAUUGGUUUCCGAAACCAAGGGUCGCAGGUUCAAAUCCUGCCGGGCGCACCA